rnacentral:rRNA from 1 species
UGGGGAAUCUUGCACAAUGGGGGCAACCCUGAUGCAGCGACGCCGCGUGAGCGAUGAAGCCCUUCGGGGCGUAAAGCUCUUUCGACCGGAACGAUAAUGACGGUACCGGGAGAAGAAGCUGCGGCUAACUACGUGCCAGCAGCCGCGGUAAUACGUAGGCAGCAAGCGUUGUUCGGAGUUACUGGGCGUAAAGAGUGCGUAGGCGGUUUUCUAAGUUCGGUGUGAAAUCUCCCGGGUUAACUGGGAGGGUGCGCCGAAGACUGGGAAGCUUGAGUGAGGGAAAGGCAAGCGGAAUUCCUGGUGUAGCGGUGAAAUACGUAGAUAUCAGGAGGAACACCAGCGGUGUAGACGGCUUGCUAGACCAUAACUGACGCUGAGGCACGAAAGCGUGGGUAGCAAACA